UGUGAGCGCCGCUGUCCCGGGGACCGCGGAUUGGAAGCAGGAAGUCACUGGCCGCGGACAGAAUCUCUCUCUCCUUCCAUCUCAUUUUCCACUCAGAAGAAUUCUUGAGAGUUUUAUAGCCACAAAAUGAUGCUGCUUAUGUUUUGAGGCUUUUGCUUUUGUUUUGUUUUUAACAUUUAGUAUGAGGUUGGCUGUCAGUUCUAGCCAAAUCAACCACACAUGAAAAAGAAAUAAAAGGCAUUCUUGAGAGUCUAAAAAGUGAUUCUACUAUACAUCAGCAUUCAGAAAAUGAGAGUGAAGAUAACCCAUUUUGGCUGCCGGAAUGACUCACCCGAAAGAUAUUCAUCAAGGAUGGUGUGGAAGAUGCUGACCUCCCGAGGACUGUUCCUGAUCCUGACAAUGCUGAACUUGUCUCAGGAAAUUGGUCCGAGGGGUUCGAUGAGACUCUCGAGGCCCUGAGAGCAGCCGUUCUAAAGAUCAACUCGACACCAGUGGACCUGUCAUUGACAGAGGGUCUCUCCUCCUGGAUUUCAUCUGCAUUUUCUUAUUUUAAGGAAUGGGUGGGGGUAGUUUUAUUUGCUGCUGCCAUCUGCUGUGGACUUGUGUUCAUGCUCUGAUUGGUUUGUAAGCUCAGAACCCAACAAAACCGUGACAAGGUCGUUAUUACUCAGGCACUUGCAGCCAUUGAACAAGGGGCUUCCCCUGAAAUUUGGCUUAAGACUUAAAUGCUUAAGACUUAAAUGGCAUCUGAGUUCUCUGCUAUUGCGUCCCACGGAUUUGUGGAUCCAUUGCACUGGGAUGAGAGGGACUCAACGCUCAUUGAUCAGCACUUGCACUUCGCUGAGUUUUACUAAUUCAUUUUUCGGCUGGCCUCUUUUAUAGAGUUCACCCUAGGUCAUUUGGCAGUUACUGUCACACAGUACUGCGGUAUCCAGAGAGGGGCAACUUUCCUCAUGUACAGACCAACCUAAGACACGUGACCCGGUGGCGAUAGGGUUACCCUAUGACAGGAAAGGCUGUGACAUUGGAGGAAUGACCUAAGACAGGAGCCACCGCAGAUGGACAUGACUGCAGAGGCCUAUACCAGCCUCAAAUUUUAAUAAAAUUAAAAGGGGGAGAUGUGGAGAGCCGUGCCGUGAGCAAUCGCCAUUAUAAGAUGGCGCUGGCUUCCACUGCGCCUAACUAGUAAAGCGCCUAACUAGUAAAAUGCGCAAGUGCAAGAGUGAAUUCACGCCCAGUCACUGCCCAUCUCGGGGCAUAGUAAUGGGGUGAUGGGUGAGCAACUAAUCAGGUGCUGUCACGCCACAUCAGGUGCUGAAACGUCACACUGUGGGCUAUAUAAGCAGUGCCGUUUUCCGGGUUCGGGGUCUUCCUUAUGUUGAAGCAAUAAAAGCUUUGCCAAUUUAUUUCCAAAAGCAACAAGGAUUUCUCCUGACAUUUGUAGAAGGGAUGAGAAAGAUCACCUGGGCCAAGAUCCAGAGGAUUAAGAUCCAUAGGAUGGGAAGACUUAGCAACUAUGUGGGACCAUCCUCUGCUUCGGAUCCUGAACUCUCCAAACAGAAGAAGGGACCUGAGCAGCAGCAACAGCAGCAUUCAUUACUCUCUGUUCCUGAUCGUGGAUACAAUGAGAUCAGCUGAUUUAAGCUCCUGCUUCCUUGAUUUCCCAUCCUUGAUGGAACAUAGCCAGACUAAGCCUUUCUCCCUUAAAUUGGCUUUCUGGGCGUAUUUUAACACAGAAAUGUAAAAAGAAACUAAGAUGAUGAUCAAAAAGAGUAAAGAAAUAUACUCCACAU
rnacentral:lncRNA from 1 species